rnacentral:tRNA from 1 species
GAAAUGUAACUAUUAAAAGCUGCUAACUUUUAUUCUAGUGAUUAAAUUCAUUAACAUUUCU